CCUACGGGAGUCUGCAGUGGGGAAUAUUGCGCAAUGGGCGAAAGCCUGACGCAGCGACGCCGCGUGAGGGAUGAAGGUCUUCGGAUCGUAAACCUCUGUCAGCAGGGAAGAACGGUCACUGUGCUAAUCAUCAGUGAAUUACCGGUACCUGCAAAGGAAGCACCGGCUAACUCCGUGCCAGCAGCCGCUGUAAUACGGAGGGUGCGAUCGUUAAUCGGAAUUACUGGGCGUAAAGCGCUCGUAGGCGGUAUGUCAAGUCAAGGGUGAAAUCCCCGCGCUCAACGUGGGAACUGCCUUUGAAACUGGCAGACUGGAGUGUGUGAGAGGGUAGUGGAAUUCAAGGUGUAGGAGUGAAAUCCGUAGAUAUCUGGAGGAACAUCAGUGGCGAAGGCGACUAUCUGGCACAUAACUGACGCUGAGGAGCGAAAGCGUGGGUAGCAAACAGGAUUAGAUACCCUGGUAGUC
rnacentral:rRNA from 1 species